rnacentral:rRNA from 1 species
UACGGGGGGAGCAAGCGUUGUUCGGAUUUACUGGGCGUAAAGGGCGCGUAGGCGGCCACCGCAAGUCGACUGUGAAAUCCCUCAGCUUAACUGGGGAACUGCGUCCGAUACUGGAUGGCUUGGAUUUGGGAGAGGGAUGCGGAAUUCCAGGUGUAGCGGUGAAAUGCGUAGAUAUCUGGAGGAACACCGGUGGCGAAGGCGGCAUCCUGGACCAAUAUUGACGCUGAGGAGCGAAAGCCAGGGGAGCAAACGGG